CCUACGGGUGGCUGCAGUGGGGAAUUUUGCGCAAUGGGGGAAACCCUGACGCAGCAACGCCGCGUGCGGUACGAAGGCCCUCGGGUUGUACACCGCUUUCAGCAGUGAAGAUCCAAGACGGUACCUGCAGAAGAAGCUCCGGCUAACUACGUGCCCGCAGCCGCGGUAAUACGUAGGUGGCGAGCGUUAUCCGGAUUCAUUGGGCGAUAAGCGCGCGUAGGCGGCCGCCUAAGCGGGACCUCUAACCCCGGGGCUCAACCCCGGGCCGGGUCCCGGCCUGGGCGGCUCGAGUGCGGUAGAGGAGAGCGGAAGUCGCGGUGUAGCGGUGGAAUGAGCAGAUAGCGGGAAGAACACCGAUGGCGAAGGCAGCUCUCUGGGCCGUCACUGACGCUGAGGCGCGAAAGCUGGGGGAGCGAACAGGAUUAGAUACCCGGGUAGUC
rnacentral:rRNA from 1 species